ACAGGUGACUGGGGCGAAAGCCUGAUCCAGCAAUGCCGCGUGUGUGAUGAAGGCCUUCGGGUUGUAAAGCACUUUUGUCCGUGAAAGAAAUGGUUUUGGUUAAUACCUGGGGUUGAUGACGGUACCGGAAGAAUAAGGCCCGGCUAACUUCGUGCCAGCAGCCGCGGUAAUACGUAUGGUCCAAGCGUUAAUCGGAAUUACUGGGCGUAAAGCGUGCGCAGGCGGUUGUGCAAGUCCGAUGUGUGAUCCCCGAGCUUAACUUGGGAAUUGCAUUGGUGACUGGCCGGAUCUAGAGUGUGUCAGAGGGGGGUAGAAUUCCACGUGUAGCAGUGAAAUGCGUAGAGAUGUGGAGGAAUCCCGAUGGCGAAGGUGAGCCCCCUGGGAUAACACUGACGCUCAUGCACGAAAGCGUGGGGAGCAAACAGGAUUAGAUCCCCUGGUAGUCCCCGCCCUAAACGAUGUCAACUAGUUGUUGGGGAUUCAUUUCUUUAGUGACGUAGCUAACGCGUGAAGUUGUCCGCCU
rnacentral:rRNA from 1 species